rnacentral:rRNA from 1 species
UACAGAGGUCUCAAGCGUUGUUCGGAUUCAUUGGGCGUAAAGGGUGCGUAGGCGGCGCGGUAAGUCGGGCGUGAAAUCUCGGAGCUUAACUCCGAAGCUGCAUUCGAUACUGCCGUGCUUGAGGACUGGAGAGGAGACUGGAAUUUACGGUGUAGCGGUGAAAUGCGUAGAUAUCGUAAGGAAGACCAGUGGCGAAGGCGGGUCUCUGGACAGUUCCUGACGCUGAGGCACGAAGGUCAGGGGAGCAAACGGG